CGACUGGAGGAGGAUGCCUGCUCAUUACGCCGGCCACGUACGAAACGUUCGUGAACUUGGCCAGAAUUCGUGAACGUCCAGGCCAGCCGACCUGGAGGAAAAAUUAACGAUGGAUUCUUUUGAAAAAUUUCUAAUUAAACCCGUGGCUGCAGUCCCUGAAGACAGGAAGUGCCUUGAUGGAAACGAUCAUUUCCAUAAAUGUAGUAGUUGAACAAUUAAAAACUCCGGAUUGACCGCGGUUACGAAACCGGACAGUGGCCAUUAAGAUCGACGAACGAUCCGCAGAAACGGUCAUCGUCGUUGAAAACGGUUAAUCGGGCGUGAUUUAUUAUCAACGAUGCAACCGAAAACGUAAGCCGUUCUCGUAAGCCAGUUUCACGGAAUAUUGAUUGUUGUCUUUUCCACUGUAUACCAGACCAUAUUGAACUUGACUUUAAGAUCUCUCAACAGCUACUCUUCUAAUCCAUAAACGCGUUAGAAAAAGAGAAUGUAAAGAACAGAGUUUCAAAGUGUCCUCUAAUGAUUUUUGCCCCAACUAUUUAUCGUAAUAAGACGAUAUUUGAAUAUCCAAAUAAAUAGCCUCCAGACAUGAAAAGCUGUCUUAAGUCUGGUGCACACAUCCCCCAUCGAGUCGGUUCUGUGGAUCGAACUGGUCGGAAUGUAUACACCAACCUUAAGGCGGCUCCUCAUGUCUGGAAGUUGUUUAUUUGGAUUUUCAAGCAUCUUCUUCCUGUUUUGAUGCACAUACAUAUCUAAUUUAAAUGCCGAAAAGCAGAAACUAAAACAAGUAUGUACUAAUCUACGAUUUCACUUCUGCAUAAUCUUCUCUGGGUCAUCACUUAUCAAUGAAAAGUUUAUUUAAACACGUCAACGGUUAAAUAAAAUUAAAUGAAACUAA